GCUGGCGGCAUGCCUAAUACAUGCAAGUCGAGCGGAGUUGAUAGGAAGCUUGCUUCCUUGAUACUUAGCGGCGGACGGGUGAGUAACACGUAGGCAACCUGCNCUCAAGUUUGGGACAACUACCGGAAACGGUAGCUNAUACCGAAUAGUUGUUUUCUUCGCCUGAAGGAAACUGGAAAGACGGAGCAAUCUGUCACUUGGGGAUGGGCCUGCGGCGCAUUAGCUAGUUGGUGGGGUAACGGCUCACCAAGGCGACGAUGCGUAGCCGACCUGAGAGGGUGAUCGGCCACACUGGGACUGAGACACGGCCCAGACUCCUACGGGAGGCAGCAGUAGGGAAUCUUCCGCAAUGGGCGAAAGCCUGACGGAGCAAUGCCGCGUGAGUGAUGAAGGUUUUCGGAUCGUAAAGCUCUGUUGCCAGGGAAGAACGCUUGGGAGAGUAACUGCUCUCAAGGUGACGGUACCUGAGAAGAAAGCCCCGGCUAACUACGUGCCAGCAGCCGCGGUAAUAC
rnacentral:rRNA from 1 species